ACGCUCGACACCUACGGGAGGCAGCAGUGGGGAAUAUUGCACAAUGGGGGAAACCCUGAUGCAGCGACGCCGCGUGAGCGAAGAAGUAUUUCGGUAUGUAAAGCUCUAUCAGCAGGGAANAAAAUGACGGUACCUGACUAAGGAGCCCCGGCUAACUACGUGUCAGCAGCCGCGGUAAUCUGAGGCGGGCUGGCAAGGC
rnacentral:rRNA from 1 species